rnacentral:rRNA from 1 species
GGACGGCUCGUUAACACGUGGUUAACAUACCCUCAGGUGGGGGAUAACCUUGGGAAACUGAGGAUAAUACCCCAUAGAAAAAGCAGUCUGGAACGAUUCUUUUUCGAAAGCAUAUGCGCCUGAGGAUUGGACUGCGCUCGAUUAGGUAGUUGGUGGGGUAAUGGCCUACCAAGCCUACGAUCGGUACGGGCCUUGAGAGAGGAAGCCCGGAGAUGGGGACUGAGACACGGCCCCAGGCCCUACGGGGCGCAGCAGGCGCGAAACCUCCGCAAUGCACGAAAGUGCGACGGGGGGAUCCCAAGUGCUCAUGCACAGCAUGGGCUUUUAUCAAGUGUAAACAGCUUGAGGAAUAAGGGCUGGGCAAGUUCGGUGCCAGCAGCCGCGGUAACACCGACGGCCCGAGUGGUGGCCACUUUUAUUGGGCCUAAAGCGUCCGUAGCCGGUCCAGUAAGUCCUUGUUUAAAUCCUGCGGCUUAGCCGCAGGACUGGCAGGGAUACUGCUGGACUUGGGACCGGGAGAGGACAAGGGUACUUCAGGGGUAGCGGUGAAAUGUGUUGAUCCUUGAAGGACCACCUAUGGCGAAGGCACUUGUCUGGAAC